AAACAAAGGUGUGUACUCUCCAUGUGGAUAGAGAGUACACACCUUUUUUUCC
ensembl:miRNA